UACGAAGGGGGCUAGCGUUGCUCGGAAUCACUGGGCGUAAAGGGCGCGUAGGCGGGCCGGCAAGUCAGGGGUGAAAUCCCACGGCUCAACUGUGGAAGUGCCUUUGAUACUGCCGGUCUGGAGGGAGGUAGGGGCGUGCGGAACUUCCGGUGGAGCGGUGAAAUGCGUAGAUAUCGGAAGGAACACCGGUGGCGAAAGCGGCGCGCUGGACCUCUACUGACGCUGAGGCGCGAAAGCCAGGGGAGCAAACGGG
rnacentral:rRNA from 1 species